UACGGGGGGGGGCAAGCGUUGUUCGGAAUUACUGGGCGUAAAGGGCUCGUAGGCGGCCAACUAAGUCGGAUGUGAAAUCCCCAGGCUUAACCUGGGAACUGCAUCCGAUACUGGAUGGCUUGAAUUCGGGAGAGGGAUGCAGAAUUCCAGGUGUAGCGGUGAAAUGCGUAGAUAUCUGGAGGAAUACCGGUGGCGAAGGCGGCAUCCUGGACCGAGAUUGACGCUGAUGAGCGAAAGCUAGGGGAGCAAACGGG
rnacentral:rRNA from 1 species